AUUGAACGCUGGCGGCAUGCCUUACACAUGCAAGUCGAACGGCAGCACGGGAGCAAUCCUGGUGGCGAGUGGCGAACGGGUGAGUAAUAUAUCGGAACGUGCCCAGUCGUGGGGAUAACGUAGCGAAAGCUACGCUAAUACCGCAUACGAUCUACGGAUGAAAGCGGGGGAUCGCAAGACCUCGCGCGAUUGGAGCGGCCGAUAUCAGAUUAGGUAGUUGGUGAGGUAAAGGCUCACCAAGCCGACGAUCUGUAGCUGGUCUGAGAGGACGACCAGCCACACUGGGACUGAGACACGGCCCAGACUCCUACGGGAGGCAGCAGUGGGGAAUAUUGGACAAUGGGCGAAAGCCUGAUCCAGCCAUGCCGCGUGUGUGAAGAAGGUCUUCGGAUUGUAAAGCACUUUAAGUUUGGGAGGAAGGGUAGUAACCUAAUACGUUGCUACUUUGACGUUACCGACAGAAUAAGCACCGGCUAACUUCGUGCCA
rnacentral:rRNA from 1 species